UACGGGGGGGGCAAGCGUUGUUCGGAAUUACUGGGCGUAAAGGGCUCGUAGGCGGCCAACUAAGUCAGACGUGAAAUCCCUCGGCUUAACCGGGGAACUGCGUCUGAUACUGGAUGGCUUGAGUUUGGGAGAGGUAUGCGGAAUUCCAGGUGUAGCGGUGAAAUGCGUAGAUAUCUGGAGGAACACCGGUGGCGAAGGCGGCAUCCUGGACCAACACUGACGCUGAGUGAGCGAAAGCCAGGGGAGCAAACGGG
rnacentral:rRNA from 1 species